ensembl:lncRNA
AAAAUACCAAAAUGUUUUUUGGGGGUGGAAAUGUUCCUAUAAUUAACCGUUGAUCAUUGCAUAAUGUUAUCUUCUAAACUUCAACAGGUAGAAAAAUACAUAUCUGAAAAAUAUACGUUGACAUCUUCAGGACAUUAAAUGAAUGGCAUGUUUCCUUUUUUUUGUAAAGAAAGUUUAUUUAUAAAGCAGGUCUCAGAACACUAGCAUCCCAGACCAGAGUGGACAGAAUCUGACGUCACAGCUACCAGGCCCACCAAUCAGAGGCACUGUGGCCACAAAAAGGCAACAUAAAAACAAAAAACAUGUUUCCUGGUUUUCCCCCUUUACCACUCCCUGCACCCCAAACCCAAAAUCAACCCUCAACCCAAACCCCUGAUCAUAAAAUACAAGUGGUUCGGUAUAUAAACAAUAUGGUGUCACCAGCUAUAGACAAGGUUGUCAUUUAAUGUUUUACCAUAUUGCUUAUAUAUAUAUAUAUAUCCAGGCCUCUCAGAUCGACACAUUGGGGUUGGCUACUAGUAACCCAAUACAGGACCAUAUAUUCUGCACCUAUGGUGUGUUUAGGAGGAGCAGGCAGAAGCAAUAUGGAAUUCAUCUUUAGCUACCAUGUUUGGAGACUCUGGCAUGAAGGAGACAAUUUAAUACAAACUGUCCAUUAUUAUCUAAAGAACCCAUCUGUUUCAGGGCCAUUCAUCCACCUCUGAAUACAGAUUCACCCCUUUUCACGCACGCACAGAGAUGAGCAGACAAACACACAGUCACACAGCCUGGCUCAAACUGGAUUUGACGAGACAAAAGCGGAAGAGAGGGGUGUUUUGGGGAGGACAUCAUUGCACGAGACAAAUCUAACAAAUAAUCACUUUUAAAAUAACAUUAAAAAAUCAAAAUCAAAGGAGGAGCAUGCAAAAUGGCUUUUCAGUUAAAACACAAUACAACACUUUAAAAAGUUCCUCUGAGGCAGGAGGGGUAGUUAAAACAUAAAAUACCCUCUCUAUGUCCCAAAUGGCACCCUAUUCCCUAUAUAGUGCACUACUUAUGACCAGGGCUCUGGUCAAAUGUAAAGCCCUGGUCAUAAGUAGUGCACUAUAUAGGGAUUAGGGUGCCAUUUGGGAGACAGGCACUCAGGCUCUGCCACCAUCCACUGGGGUUCCAUGUCAGGGUUCCAACGGGUAGGGUUCUGAGUUCCGGAUGUUCUAGGUUCAGGCUGGUGGACUGGAGGUCAGACCUCAGAGGGAGUAGAGUAGAACCCGGAGGUUUGGGGCUAGAGCUGCCUCUCUCUCCCCAUCUCCUCAGUCCACUGGGCUCCUUCUGGGACCAGACAGACCCAUGUGUCUGCUGGCUAGACUGCCUGGAACACAUGUGGAUUCAAUAUAGCAGGGAUGAGAUGCACUGAAGCUUAAGGAAGGUAAUGCAAUGCUGUAAUGUAAAGCUACUGAAACAUUGACAUUUAGUUUGAAAAGUUUGUGAAAUUACAGUAAAAUAAUUGGACAAUGACCUGCUUGUGAACUCAAUCAUAUUUUGGUGUCGCUUCUUUUUCUUUUUUUCCUCCUGUUGAGGUGAGUCCUGAACAAACAAACAAACACACUAGGAUUAGACCAGGUUGAGGUGAGUCCUGAACAAACAAACAAACACACUAGGAUUAGACCAGGUUGAGGUGAGUCCUGAACAAACAAA